UUAAGCGACUAAGCGUACACGGUGGAUGCCCUGGCAGUCAGAGGCGAUGAAGGACGUGCUAAUCUGCGAUAAGCGUCGGUAAGGUGAUAUGAACCGUUAUAACCGGCGAUUUCCGAAUGGGGAAACCCAGUGUGUUUCGACACACUAUCAUUAACUGAAUCCAUAGGUUAAUGAGGCGAACCGGGGGAACUGAAACAUCUAAGUACCCCGAGGAAAAGAAAUCAACCGAGAUUCCCCCAGUAGCGGCGAGCGAACGGGGAGGAGCCCAGAGCCUGAAUCAGUGUGUGUGUUAGUGGAAGCGUCUGGAAAGGCGCGCGAUACAGGGUGACAGCCCCGUACACAAAAUGCACAUAUUGUGAGCUCGAUGAGUAGGGCGGGACACGUGGUAUCCUGUCUGAAUAUGGGGGACCAUCCUCCAAGGCUAAAUACUCCUGACUGACCGAUAGUGAACCAGUACCGUGAGGGAAAGGCGAAAGAACCCCGGCGAGGGGAGUGAAAAAGAACCUGAAACCGUGUACGUACAAGCAGUGGGAGCCUCUUUUAUGGGGUGACUGCGUACCUUUUGUAUAAUGGGUCAGCGACUUAUAUUCUGUAGCAAGGUUAACCGAAUAGGGGAGCCGAAGGGAAACCGAGUCUUAACUGGGCGUUAAGUUGCAGGGUAUAGACCCGAAACCCGGUGAUCUAGCCAUGGGCAGGUUGAAGGUUGGGUAACACUAACUGGAGGACCGAACCGACUAAUGUUGAAAAAUUAGCGGAUGACUUGUGGCUGGGGGUGAAAGGCCAAUCAAACCGGGAGAUAGCUGGUUCUCCCCGAAAGCUAUUUAGGUAGCGCCUCGUGAAUUCAUCUCCGGGGGUAGAGCACUGUUUCGGCAAGGGGGUCAUCCCGACUUACCAACCCGAUGCAAACUGCGAAUACCGGAGAAUGUUAUCACGGGAGACACACGGCGGGUGCUAACGUCCGUCGUGAAGAGGGAAACAACCCAGACCGCCAGCUAAGGUCCCAAAGUCAUGGUUAAGUGGGAAACGAUGUGGGAAGGCCCAGACAGCCAGGAUGUUGGCUUAGAAGCAGCCAUCAUUUAAAGAAAGCGUAAUAGCUCACUGGUCGAGUCGGCCUGCGCGGAAGAUGUAACGGGGCUAAACCAUGCACCGAAGCUGCGGCAGCGACGCUGAUGCGUUGUUGGGUAGGGGAGCGUUCUGUAAGCCUGUGAAGGUGUGCUGUGAGGCAUGCUGGAGGUAUCAGAAGUGCGAAUGCUGACAUAAGUAACGAUAAAGCGGGUGAAAAGCCCGCUCGCCGGAAGACCAAGGGUUCCUGUCCAACGUUAAUCGGGGCAGGGUGAGUCGACCCCUAAGGCGAGGCCGAAAGGCGUAGUCGAUGGGAAACAGGUUAAUAUUCCUGUACUUGGUGUUACUGCGAAGGGGGGACGGAGAAGGCUAUGUUGGCCGGGCGACGGUUGUCCCGGUUUAAGCGUGUAGGCUGGUUUUCCAGGCAAAUCCGGAAAAUCAAGGCUGAGGCGUGAUGACGAGGCACUACGGUGCUGAAGCAACAAAUGCCCUGCUUCCAGGAAAAGCCUCUAAGCAUCAGGUAACAUCAAAUCGUACCCCAAACCGACACAGGUGGUCAGGUAGAGAAUACCAAGGCGCUUGAGAGAACUCGGGUGAAGGAACUAGGCAAAAUGGUGCCGUAACUUCGGGAGAAGGCACGCUGAUAUGUAGGUGAAGUCCCUCGCGGAUGGAGCUGAAAUCAGUCGAAGAUACCAGCUGGCUGCAACUGUUUAUUAAAAACACAGCACUGUGCAAACACGAAAGUGGACGUAUACGGUGUGACGCCUGCCCGGUGCCGGAAGGUUAAUUGAUGGGGUCAGCGCAAGCGAAGCUCUUGAUCGAAGCCCCGGUAAACGGCGGCCGUAACUAUAACGGUCCUAAGGUAGCGAAAUUCCUUGUCGGGUAAGUUCCGACCUGCACGAAUGGCGUAAUGAUGGCCAGGCUGUCUCCACCCGAGACUCAGUGAAAUUGAACUCGCUGUGAAGAUGCAGUGUACCCGCGGCAAGACGGAAAGACCCCGUGAACCUUUACUAUAGCUUGACACUGAACAUUGAGCCUUGAUGUGUAGGAUAGGUGGGAGGCUUAGAAGUGUGGACGCCAGUCUGCAUGGAGCCGACCUUGAAAUACCACCCUUUAAUGUUUGAUGUUCUAACGUUGACCCGUGAUCCGGGUUGCGGACAGUGUCUGGUGGGUAGUUUGACUGGGGCGGUCUCCUCCUAAAGAGUAACGGAGGAGCACGAAGGUUGGCUAAUCCUGGUCGGACAUCAGGAGGUUAGUGCAAUGGCAUAAGCCAGCUUGACUGCGAGCGUGACGGCGCGAGCAGGUGCGAAAGCAGGUCAUAGUGAUCCGGUGGUUCUGAAUGGAAGGGCCAUCGCUCAACGGAUAAAAGGUACUCCGGGGAUAACAGGCUGAUACCGCCCAAGAGUUCAUAUCGACGGCGGUGUUUGGCACCUCGAUGUCGGCUCAUCACAUCCUGGGGCUGAAGUAGGUCCCAAGGGUAUGGCUGUUCGCCAUUUAAAGUGGUACGCGAGCUGGGUUUAGAACGUCGUGAGACAGUUCGGUCCCUAUCUGCCGUGGGCGCUGGAGAACUGAGGGGGGCUGCUCCUAGUACGAGAGGACCGGAGUGGACGCAUCACUGGUGUUCGGGUUGUCAUGCCAAUGGCACUGCCCGGUAGCUAAAUGCGGAAGAGAUAAGUGCUGAAAGCAUCUAAGCACGAAACUUGCCCCGAGAUGAGUUCUCCCUGACCCUUUAAGGGUCCUGAAGGAACGUUGAAGACGACGACGUUGAUAGGCCGGGUGUGUAAGCGCAGCGAUGCGUUGAGCUAACCGGUACUAAUGAACCGUGAGGCUUAACCUU
rnacentral:rRNA from 1 species